rnacentral:rRNA from 1 species
GCCAGCAGCCGCGGUAAUACGAAGGGACCUAGCGUAGUUCGGAAUUACUGGGCUUAAAGAGUUCGUAGGUGGUUGAAAAAGUUAGUGGUGAAAUCCCAGUAGCUUAACUCUGGAACUGCCAUUAAAACUUUUCAGCUAGAGUAUGAUAGAGGAAAGCAGAAUUUCUAGUGUAGAGGUGAAAUUCGUAGAUAUUAGAAAGAAUACCAAUUGCGAAGGCAGCUUUCUGGAUCAUUACUGACACUGAGGAACGAAAGCAUGGGUAGCGAAGAGGAUUAGAUACCCUCGUAGUCCAUGCCGUAAACGAUGUGUGUUAGACGUUGGAAAUUUAUUUUCAGUGUCGCAGGGAAACCGAUAAACACACCGCCUGGGGAGUACGACCGCAAGGUUAAAACUCAAAUGAAUUGACGGGGACCCGCACAAGUAGUGGAGCAUGUGGUUUAAUUCGAAGAUACGCGCAGAACCUUACCAACACUUGACAUGUUCGUCGCGACUCUAAGAGAUUAGAGUUUUCGGUUCGGCCGGACGAAACACAGGUGCUGCAUGGCUGUCGUCAGCUCGUGUCGUGAGAUGUUGGGUUAAGUCCCGCAACGAGCGCAACCCUCACUUUUAGUUGCCAUCAUUAAGUUGGGCACUCUGAAAGAACUGCCAGUGAUAAGCUGGGAGGAAGGUGGGGGAUGACGUCAAGUCCUCAUGGCCCUUACGUGUUGGGCUACACACGUGCUACAAUGGUAUCUACAACAGGAAGCAAGACUGCGAAGUUAAGCAAAUCCCUAAAAAGAUACCUUCAGUUCGGGAUUGCACUUU